GAUGAACGCUGGCGGCGUGCUUAACACAUGCAAGUCGAACGGAAAGGCCUCUGCUUGCAGGGGUACUCGAGUGGCGAACGGGUGAGUAACACGUGGGUGAUCUGCCCUGCACUUCGGGAUAAGCCUGGGAAACUGGGUCUAAUACCGGAUAGGACAAUGGUUUGGAUGCUGUUGUGGAAAGUUUUUCGGUGUGGGAUGAGCUCGCGGCCUGUCAGCUUGUUGGUGGGGUAAUGGCCUACCAAGGCGUCGACGGGUAGCCGGCCUGAGAGGGUGUACGGCCACAUUGGGACUGAGAUACGGCCCAGACUCCUACGGGAGGCAGCAGUGGGGAAUAUUGCACAAUGGGCGCAAGCCUGAUGCAGCGACGCCGCGUGGGGGAUGACGGCCUUCGGGUUGUAAACUCCUUUCGCUAGGGACGAAGCGUUUUUGUGACGGUACCUGGAGAAGAAGCACCGGCUAACUACGUG
rnacentral:rRNA from 1 species